UACGUAGGGGGCAAGCGUUGUCCGGAAUCAUUGGGCGUAAAGAGCGUGUAGGCGGUCCGGUAAGUCAGCUGUGAAAGUCAAGGGCUCAACCCUUGAAUGCCGGUUGAUACUGUCGGGCUAGAGUCCGGAAGAGGCGAGUGGAAUUCCCGGUGUAGCGGUGAAAUGCGCAGAUAUCGGGAGGAACACCAAUGGCGAAGGCAGCUCGCUGGGACGGUACUGACGCUGAGACGCGAAAGCGUGGGGAGCAAACAGG
rnacentral:rRNA from 1 species